GUAAAAGGAUAGGAUAUGAAUAUUUUUAUUAUAAUUUUCUGUGCUUUCAAACAUUUCUGUAAAGAGUAUUUAUCGACAUUGCAAUGGAAAAAAAAACAUCUUGACUCUAAAAAUCAAUUGAGUUAAGAGUGCCUGUCUUCUGACUCGCUAACACUUCAGUGUUAUUUCUUCUUGUUCCCUUCCUUGGGUUUCUGUUUUGCCUUUCCUGCAUAUACAGGGUCGAGGACUCAAUGAACCUGCUGAGAGCCACCUAUGUAUUCUGAAACCGCCAUGAAAGCAGGGACUGCUUGGGUCUCUCCCUCCAUUAAGCUUAUGUUAGUUUUCCAAGGGUAAUGAGGAAAUAUUCUCUUGGCCUCAAAGAAUAGUGUGGCCCAGCCCUGCACGAGGCAGGGCUUCUUAAGAGGCAGUAACCAUCUCACAGAGAGACAUGAGGGGUCUUGGGCACCCUCCAGGAUCCUGGGAUGCACACCCGACUGCUCUUCCUCAGGACUCAAUGCCCCGGCCCAGCUGAUCCCUCUCACGUAAUACUCCAUCACGUGGCUCUUCCCCAGUCCCCACAGGAAGCCCUCCCUGAUACAUCUGUACUCAUCCCGAUUCCCUAAGAGGGCAAGCUUGACCGGCUGUUUGGCGCUGCUUGGGUGAAAGCCCCCCAUAUCUAAGUGCUCACCUGUUGUGUGGGAGUUCAAGCUGAUUGCCUCCAUUUUACAGGAGACAGGCCCCUCUUGAGAGAGUCACGGCUUUCUCACCGAGUUGGCCGCGUCUCCCCACAUCAGAGGCCUGGACUGGAUUUCCCGGGAUACUCCUUGACAAAGCUCACCAGGAGUGGGCGCAGGCCCGUCUCCCAGGUACCCAUCUCAAAAAAUGGACUGGCUCCUUCCUGUCCCCUCCUCCAAACACCUCCAGGACCUACAACUCAUCCUGAGCGUGAGCGGGGCCGGCUCUAGCAGAGACGUGAGACUGAUUAGCCGAGAGUCCGUUGCAAUGCCAGGUCCGGGUUCAGAGCCUCCUUAGAGGGGCGUUACCGGCUGGGCGCGCUUGGUGGGUGCCCAGUAAGGACCAGAAGAGGCAAUGAGGAAGGGGUCUUUUUCAGCCCAGACGUCGGGUCUUCGCUGGAACGCACUGCGGGGCGUCACCCCCAGGGGGAGCCCGAGGCCCGCCCCAAACAGUGCCCCAGCGAUCUUGCGGGGCUGUCUCAGGUCCUCGCUGCUGGGUUCUUGUGCAGCUUUGUCCUAGGAUCGUGUCCCUCCACACACGUGGGGGAAGGGAUGUCUGGCCCUAACGUGCCACUGCAGCCUCCCCUCCCUUCUCUACAGUCUCCAAAACCCGCGCUCCAGGAAGUGACUCUGCAUCCCCUAAACAGUCAGGCAAGGUCUCAGCCCUAGCUCUUUCCCUCUUGCUGCUUCCGCUUGCUCGCCAAGUCAUCUGUUAAACUCCACCUUCUGUAAAACUCUUACUGGUAGUUCAGGACUCCAGCCCAAAGGUUUUCUUACCUCCCUCCCCACCAUCCCCACCCCAUCCCGCGAGGGACUCCCCGAGCUCCCGGUCCCACCGAUUAA